rnacentral:ncRNA from 1 species
UGGUACUGUGGGUCAGGAUAAUAGGGAACCAGGUGGGAAUCCUGGACGAUCCCGUCGCUGUGUAAGCGGAGCAUUUUAAAGCCGUAAGGCCGUCACUGUGAAAAUGGGAAGACGAAAAAUGUGAUGAUGCAAAGUCAGAAGACCUGCCUUUUU